UUCAAUAUGAUGAUAAAUAAGUCCACUGACUUUGGUUAGAUUUGAGCUAUUUUUGGAAGAGUCUAAAUAUGCCAAAACUGCAAACAGGAUGUUCACUUUUGCGAGGCAUUUGUCCGAUUGAAAG
rnacentral:snoRNA from 2 species